UACGUAGGGGGCUAGCGUUGUCCGGAAUCAUUGGGCGUAAAGCGCGUGUAGGCGGCCCGGUAAGUCCGCUGUGAAAGUCCAGGGCUCAACCCUGGGAUGCCGGUGGAUACUGUCGGGCUCGAGUCCGGAAGAGGCGAGUGGAAUUCCUGGUGUAGCGGUGAAAUGCGCAGAUAUCGAGAGGAACACCAGUGGCGAAGGCGAGUCCCUGGACAACACCUGACACUGAGGCACGAAAGCUAGGGGAGCAAACAGG
rnacentral:rRNA from 1 species